rnacentral:rRNA from 1 species
UACGUAGGUGGCAAGCGUUAUCCGGAUUUAUUGGGCGUAAAGGGAACGCAGGCGGUCUUUUAAGUCUGAUGUGAAAGCCUUCGGCUUAACCGCAGUAGUGCAUUGGAAACUGGGAGACUUGAGUGCAGAAGAGGAGAGUGGAACUCCAUGUGUAGCGGUGAAAUGCGUAGAUAUAUGGAAGAACACCAGUGGCGAAAGCGGCUCUCUGGUCUGUAACUGACGCUGAGGUUCGAAAGCGUGGGUAGCAAACAGG